AACGGUAACAGGAAACAGCUUGCUGUUUCGCUGACGAGUGGCGGACGGGUGAGUAAUGUCUGGGAAACUGCCUGAUGGAGGGGGAUAACUACUGGAAACGGUAGCUAAUACCGCAUAACGUCGCAAGACCAAAGAGGGGGACCUUCGGGCCUCUUGCCAUCGGAUGUGCCCAGAUGGGAUUAGCUAGUAGGUGGGGUAACGGCUCACCUAGGCGACGAUCCCUAGCUGGUCUGAGAGGAUGACCAGCCACACUGGAACUGAGACACGGUCCAGACUCCUACGGGAGGCAGCAGUGGGGAAUAUUGCACAAUGGGCGCAAGCCUGAUGCAGCCAUGCCGCGUGUAUGAAGAAGGCCUUAGGGUUGUAAAGUACUUUCAGCGGGGAGGAAGGGAGUAAAGUUAAUACCUUUGCUCAUUGACGUUACCCGCAGAAGAAGCACCGGCUAACUCCGUGCCAGCAGCCGCGGUAAUACGGAGGGUGCAAGCGUUAAUCGGAAUUACUGGGCGUAAAGCGCACGCAGGCGGUUUGUUAAGUCAGAUGUGAAAUCCCCGGGCUCAACCUGGGAACUGCAUCUGAUACUGGCAAGCUUGAGUCUCGUAGAGGGGGGUAGAAUUCCAGGUGUAGCGGUGAAAUGCGUAGAGAUCUGGAGGAAUACCGGUGGCGAAGGCGGCCCCCUGGACGAAGACUGACGCUC
rnacentral:rRNA from 1 species